rnacentral:rRNA from 1 species
UGGGGAAUAUUGCACAAUGGGCGAAAGCCUGAUGCAGCGACGCCGCGUGAGGGAUGACGGCCUUCGGGUUGUAAACCUCUUUCAGUAGGGACGAAGCGCAAGUGACGGUUCCUGCAGAAGAAGCACCGGCUAACUACGUGCCAGCAGCCGCGGUAAUACGUAGGGUGCGAGCGUUGUCCGGAAUUACUGGGCGUAAAGAGCUCGUAGGCGGUUUGUCACGUCGUCUGUGAAAUCCUAGGGCUUAACCCUUGACGUGCAGGCGAUACGGGCUGACUUGAGUACUACAGGGGAGACUGGAAUUUCUGGUGUAGCGGUGGAAUGCACAGAUAUCAGGAAGAACACCGAUGGCGAAGGCAGGUCUCUGGGUAGUAACUGACGCUGAGGAGCGAAAGCAUGGGUAGCGAACAGG